rnacentral:rRNA from 1 species
UACGUAGGGGGCAAGCGUUGUCCGGAUUUAUUGGGCGUAAAGAGCGUGUAGGCGGCCAGGUAGGUCCGUUGUGAAAAACUCGAGGCUCAACCUCGAGACGCCGAUGGAAACCAUCUGGCUAGAGUCCGGAAGAGGAGAGUGGAAUUCCUGGUGUAGCGGUGAAAUGCGCAGAUAUCAGGAGGAACACCCGUGGCGAAAGCGGCUCUCUGGGACGGUACUGACGCUGAGACGCGAAAGCGUGGGGAGCAAACAGG